GUAGCAGCACAUGUGUAGGAUAAGUGGGAGGCUAUGAAGCAGGGGCGCCAGUCUCUGUGGAGCCAUCCUUGAAAUACCACCCUUAUUGCUGUUGGCGUCUAACCGCGGCCCGUCUAUCCGGGUCCGGGACAUGGCGUGGUGGGUAGUUUGACUGGGGCGGUCGCCUCCCAAAGUGUAACGGAGGCGCGCGAUGGUGGGCUCAGAACGGUCGGAAAUCGUUCGCUGAGUGCAAUGGCAUAAGCCCGCCUGACUGCGAGACUGACAAGUCGAGCAGAGACGAAAGUCGGCCAUAGUGAUCCGGUGGUCCUGCGUGGAAGGGCCAUCGCUCAACGGAUAAAAGGUACUCUAGGGAUAACAGGCUGAA
rnacentral:rRNA from 1 species